UAACGACUCUCGGCAACGGAUAUCUYGGCUCUCGCAUCGAUGAAGAACGUAGCGAAAUGCGAUACUUGGUGUGAAUUGCAGAAUCCCGUGAACCAUCGAGUCUUUGAACGCAAGUUGCGCCCCAAGCUGUUAGGCUGAGGGCACGCCUGCCUGGGUGUCACG
rnacentral:rRNA from 1 species